rnacentral:rRNA from 1 species
CGUACAACGUGGAUAACGAACCCCUACGGUUCGGGAGUACAAUCGGGAAACUGGUGCGUAAUACCGGUGUGUCUGCGAAGCCAACAGGCUUGCAGAGAAAGACACGCAAGGUCGCCAGGGACGGUUCGCGUCCCAUCAGCUAGUUGGUGAGGUAAUGGCUCACCAAGGCGAAGACGGUAGCUGGUCUGAGAGGAUGAUCAGCCACACUGGAACUGAGACACGGUCCAGACUCCUACGGGAGGCAGCAGUGGGGAAUAUUGCGCAAUGGGCGAAAGCCUGACGCAGCCACGCCGCGUGAGCGAUGAAGGUCUUAGGAUCGUAAAGCUCUGUGGAGGGAGAAGAAGAAAGCCGGUGAAGAGCCGGCCUUGACGGUAUCCCUUUUAGCAAGCACCGGCUAACUCCGUG